CUGGAGUGGAGCCCUAGGACUGAAAUUUUCCAAAUUGCUCCUGGCAAUUCUUAUGUGCAGCCAAGAUUGAGAAGAUUGAGGGGACUAAAAUAGAACUCACCAUUUCUGUGGCUUCCAGGACACUUCCCAGAGACUUCAUAAGUAUUUCUGUUCCUAGCCUCAGACUCUUUAAGGUUGAGAAUAGGAGACCUCACAAUCAUACUGCUGACUUAGGCUUUCUUACCUGUCUGUAAGAGCCUUAUGAGCGGACACACACAGUCUAUAUAUAGAUACACACUUUUUACAUUAUACUAGAAGAUGAUGCCUGUGAUGUUUAUGGUCACUUACUAUGUUUAAAAAAUGCAUGACUGGCCUAUGGUGACUCAUUAUUUCUUCCCAGAUGCUUGAACCAUGAUGCCAGUGAGUGGAAAUGACUCUAUUGGGUGGGAUGGGCCCAGCAGGUCAGACUUACUUAGGCACUGGCACUGAGAAAAGCAAUACUGACUGGGUGUCGUGUACGUGUGACUGCCCAUAGCAAUAACCCUCUGGUACUGUGUCUGUUUAUGUAAAAACUUCUUGUUUGGUAGUUUUGACUCGUAUUUGUAGAGCUAGGUACUGGUUAUUAUUGUGCUUCAUCCUAUCCCAGAUUUCCCAGUACAUUCCUUUAGAAGACAUGUCCAUCUCCAACUGCUGGGGGCUGGCCUUUUCUGUAGGCCAAGGUGCUGCCCCAUUAGCCCCACCUGGUUGUCAUCACUCACCCAUGUGUUGUGUCCAUCUCUGACCCAUUUCCCCUGCCACCUUGCCUAAAGCUUCUCCUGUCAGCCUCCCCACCACCAUGAAGUGCUAAGAGUACUAUGUCCUGAGGUAAGGGCACCUGCAACGGAGAUUGUGAAGAGAAGACUGUGGGUUUCUGUGGUUACAAGCACAACUCUGGGUCAAAAACCCAUUCCAAGUCCUCAGAGGGGCAAGUCCCUUCCAUUCAGUAUUAAUAUAGCUCAUCAGUGCCUCUGAUGAAAUUGCCCAGGAUGCUGGCAGUGUGGCCUGGGAGGCUUCCAGCUCUUGGGGUCUGGUUACACAUUUAUUCACACUGCGGCCAUGUGUUGAGGACCUACUAUGUGCUGUGUUUGACCACACGUCCUGUAGAAUGCCGUUUGGUUCUGAGUAUGCCUGGCUGGAAUGGAAACCAGGAAAUUCUAGAGUAACAGGCUCUAGUCCUUUCCAACCAAAACAAACCUCAUGGGAAUGUUUGAGGGACCAGUUAAUGUUGAGACAGAGAGAGUAUGGUCUAGAAUGGUGGUUUUCAGAUUGUGUUUUGAGAAGCCAGAGGUCAUCUUUAGGCCUCUGAAGAGUGGUAAGGGGAGGAGAAGCUCUCAACUCCCACACCCACCUCACUCCAAGCAGCUCAAGUUCCAUCUGAUUUAUACAUUAGCAUUCUAAGUAAAAUUUUAUUUGGAGGCAGUAAAAAGGUCUAGGAGAAAUAAAAACAAUUUGUUAUGGAGUGUAUUCCAGGGCCUGUUUUUAGUUGUUGACUCUGGGCAUAAGACACUUAAUUAGAUCUAACCUGAUGGUUAAUACAGCAUUAACCUGAGCACCAAUGCUAAAACAUUGGUUUUGUAUGCUGUUGAGUGACCAACAUCCUGGUUUGCCUGGGAUGAUCGUGGUUUAGACCUGUUGUCCCAGGAUAAUUAUUCAAGUGUCACCUUAAUUCUCAAAAGUAUUCCAGUUUGGGUGAGAAAUUACAUGGACACUUUAUGCAAGAGCACAGAGUUAAGGGAAGGGUUGGCCAGCCUUGCCUAAUGAGCUGAUGAACCAGAAGGCAAGCCUUGAAGGAGAGUCCAUGUGGGCCAUCUCAGAGAACUAAGGGAUGAAGCCUUCCAAGAUUACCAGCAUUCCAAAACCAGAAUAUCAUAUUGUGAGACUCUGAAAAUAGGUCACUACCAAAUGCUUUCCAGCCUUUUGACCACUGUCACUUUGAACAAAUCAAUGGACCAGCAAAGUGGCAUAUUUUUCUUUUAUUCUUUUUAUUCUUUCCUAUGAUUACUCCUCAUGUUACCUUUCAAUUCCUCUUUCUGUCUCUCUUUUUAAAAAUUUGACUCCCCACCGGCCAUGAGACUAAGGCUGACCUUUCAUAAACCCACAAGAGUAACUGGUAUAUUUGUAUAUGAGUAGUUGCAUGAGAAAGCUCAAUGUGCAUACUGUAUUUAUUAAGCCCUGAACGCAUUUAAUAAAAUAUUAACAUGGUGUUUUGAAUUAUGAUCUUUGUCUGCUUUGCUGGAACAAAAUAUAACAGAGCUAACGUUUGAAAUCCUUCGCAUAUUUGGACAACAUUACACCAAAUGUUGAUUUUGUACAGAACUCUGGCUUGCUAUUUAAAAACUAAAACUCUAAGUAUAUAGCAGCCCAAGUUGUGAAUAUUGCUUUCUGCUUCACUGAAAAAGCAGUUUACCUGAAAAGAGCAUGUAACCUAUAUUUUGUUAAUUUAAGCAAAUAAAGACAUGUUGAAAAAGCUG
rnacentral:lncRNA from 10 species